rnacentral:rRNA from 1 species
GUAGCGAAAUUCCUUGUCGGGUAAGUUCCGACCUGCACGAAAGGCGCAACGAAUUGGGCGCUGUCUCGACCAUGGACCCGGUGAAAUUCCACUAGUCGUGAAGAUGCGACUUACCCGCGGAAGGACGGAAAGACCCCGUGAACCUUCACUGCAGCUUGGCAUUGGCCGCUGGCCCGUCGCGUAGAGGAUAGGCGGGAGGCUUCGAAGCCCGGGCGCCAGCCCGGGUGGAGCCGACCUUGGAAUACCGCCCUCGGCGCGCCGGCGUCCUAACCCCAUGCCGUCAUCCGGAUGGGGGACCGUGCCAGGUGGGUAGUUUGACUGGGGCGGUCGCCUCCUAAAGGGUAACGNNNNNNNNNNGGUAACGGAGGCGCGCGAAGGUCCGCUCGGGACGGUCGGCAACCGUCCUCUUGAGUGCAAGAGCAUAAGCGGGCUUGACUGCGAGGCCUACGAGCCGAGCAGGUGCGAAAGCAGGCUCUAGUGAUCCGGCGGCCCCGCGUGGGUGGGCCGUCGCUCAACGGAUAAAAGGUACUCCGGGGAUAACAGGCUGAUCUUGCCCAAGAGUCCA